rnacentral:rRNA from 1 species
GAUGAACGCUAGCGGCAGGCCUAACACAUGCAAAGUCGAGGGGUAUAGGAAGCUUGCUUCCUAGAGACCGGCGCACGGGUGCGUAACGCGUAUGCAAUCUACCUUAUACAGGGGAAUAGCCCAGAGAAAUUUGGUUAAUGCCCAUGGUAUUAUUGAAUGGCAUCAUUUGAUAAUUAAAGUUCCAACGGUAUAAGAUGAGCAUGCGUCCCAUUAGUUAGUUGGUGUGGUAACGGCACACCAAGACGAUGAUGGGUAGGGGUCCUGAGAGGGAGAUCCCCCACACUGGUACUGAGACACGGACCAGACUCCUACGGGAGGCAGCAGUGAGGAAUAUUGGUCAAUGGACGCAAGUCUGAACCAGCCAUGCCGCGUGCAGGAAGAAGCAUCUAUGGUGUGUAAACUGCUUUUAUACAGGAAGAAACACUCCCUCGUGAGGGAGCUUGACGGUACUGUAAGAAUAAGGACCGGCUAACUCCGUG